UAAAUACUCCCUCCGUCCGAAAAAGCUUGUCCCUCAAAUAGAUGUAUCUAGCACCAAGUUAGUGCUAGAUACAUCCAUUUGAGGGACAAGCUUGGGACAAGUUUUUUCGGACGGAGGGAGUAAGAA
rnacentral:pre_miRNA from 1 species